rnacentral:rRNA from 1 species
UACGUAGGGCGCAAGCGUUAUCCGGAAUUAUUGGGCGUAAAGAGCUCGUAGGCGGUUUGUCGCGUCUGCCGUGAAAGUCCGGGGCUCAACUCCGGAUCUGCGGUGGGUACGGGCAGACUAGAGUGAUGUAGGGGAGACUGGAAUUCUCGGUGUAGCGGUGAAAUGCGUAGAUAUCGAGAGGAACACCUGCGGCGAAGGCGGGUUGCUGGGCUGACACUGACGCUGAGGCGCGAAAGCUAGGGGAGCGAACGGG